UGGGGAAUAUUGCGCAAUGGGGGAAACCCUGACGCAGCGACGCCGCGUGCGGGAUGAAGGCCUUCGGGUUGUAAACCGCUUUUGAUUGGGAGCAAGCUUUCGGGUGAGUGUACCUUUCGAAUAAUCGCCGGCUAACUACGUGCCAGCAGCCGCGGUAAUACGUAGGGCGCAAGCGUUAUCCGGAAUUAUUGGGCGUAAAGAGCUUGUAGGCGGUCUGUUAAGUCUGAUGUGAAAGGUUAGGGCUCAACCCUGAACGUGCAUCUGAUACUGGCAGACUUGAGUAUGGAAGAGGUAAGUGGAAUUCCUAGUGUAGCGGUGAAAUGCGUAGAUAUUAGGAGGAACACCAGUGGCGAAGGCGACUUACUGGGCCAUAACUGACGCUGAGGCGCGAAAGCGUGGGGAGCAAACAGG
rnacentral:rRNA from 1 species